rnacentral:lncRNA from 1 species
CAAGAAGAUACUUUUGCCUACCUAUGAAAUUUCUAGAAGUUUCUAGAAGAAAAUUGCCCUAGGGAAAGGAUAUAAAAAGUUCUCUGGUUGAAAGAAAGAAGCUUAAGCUGACUUCUGAAUUCUGAGAUCACACUGCACAGUGGAAUCAUCCCCCUAGAAUGGUGUGUGUUGCUUACUGGACUCUGUCUCAUCUCUGAUAUUCUCAGUGCACUGAGCUGGGGCUGCCCUG